UUCCUAAGUCAUACCACUGCACCAUCACCUAAAUCUUAUUUCCGCCGUCAACUUCGCCGCACCAUGACCCAAUAUCAUCCUGUCAGCUUCAAGUGACCCUUAAUGUAGAGGCAAAAUAUUAUCAGAACUGAGAAUCUGAAAAAGGAGGGACAAAAAAAGAGGAAGAAAAUAGAAAAAGGUUUUUGGCCGGAAAUUGAUCGGAAUUCAAUCAGAUUCAUGAUAUUGUUUGGUCAACAGAGACUUAAAAAAGAAAACAACCAUUAAUUGUCAUGUCUUUUAUACACCUUUCACCUUUGCUACAGAUAGGUAAAGCAUUUAUUAGAGGGGAUCUGUUAUACACAGUAGUGCAAAGCUUUCUAUUUGCUAUCGAGGACAUUUACUGCUGGAGUCAAUUCUUAGUCAUGUUUCUGUAAGUUUCUCGACAUA
rnacentral:lncRNA from 1 species